GACGAACGCUGGCGGCGUGCUUAACACAUGCAAGUCGUACGGUAAGGCCCUUUCGGGGGUACACGAGUGGCGAACGGGCGAGUAACACGUGAGUAACCUGCCCACAACUUUGGGAUAACGCUAGGAAACUGGUGCUAAUACUGGAUAUGUGCUCCUGCUGCAUGGUGGGGGUUGGAAAGCUCCGGCGGUUGUGGAUGGACUCGCGGCCUAUCAGCUUGUUGGUGGGGUAGUGGCCUACCAAGGCGGCGACGGGUAGCCGGCCUGAGAGGGUGACCGGCCACAUUGGGACUGAGAUACGGCCCAGACGCCUACGGGAGGCAGCAGUGGGGAAUAUUGCACAAUGGGCGCAAGCCUGAUGCAGCAACGCCGCGUGCGGGAUGACGGCCUUCGGGUUGUAAACCGCUUUCAGCAGGGACGAAGCUUUUUGUGACGGUACCUGCAGAAGAAGCACCGGCUAACUACGUG
rnacentral:rRNA from 1 species